ACGAACGCUGGCGGCGUGCUUAACACAUGCAAGUCGAACGGUGAAGCGCCUUCCUUUUUGGUGGGUGUGGAUGAGUGGCGAACGGGUGAGUAACACGUGAGUAACCUGCCCCCUUCUUCUGGAUAACCGCAUGAAAGUGUGGCUAAUACGGGAUAUUCUGGGUCUGUCGCAUGAUGGGUCUGGGAAAGAUAUUGUUUCGGUGGGGGAUGGGCUCGCGGCCUAUCAGCUUGUUGGUGGGGUGAUGGCCUACCAAGGCGGUGACGGGUAGCCGGCCUGAGAGGGUGGACGGUCACACUGGGACUGAGACGCGGCCCAGACUCCUACGGGAGGCAGCAGUGAGGAAUAUUGCACAAUGGGCGCAAGCCUGAUGCAGCGACGCCGCGUGAGGGAUGGAGGCCUGCGGGUUGUGAACCUCUUUCGCCAGUGAAGCAGGCCUGCCUCGUUUGUGGGUGGGUUGACGGUAGCUGGAUAAGAAGCGCCGGCUAACUACGUG
rnacentral:rRNA from 1 species